GACGAACGCUGGCGGCGUGCCUAAUACAUGCAAGUAGAACGCUGAAGGAGGAGCUUGCUUCUCUGGAUGAGUUGCGAACGGGUGAGUAACGCGUAGGUAACCUGCCUGGUAGCGGGGGAUAACUAUUGGAAACGAUAGCUAAUACCGCAUAAUAGCAGUUAUUGCAUGAUAACUGUUUGAAAGGUGCAAUUGCACCACUACCAGAUGGACCUGCGUUGUAUUAGCUAGUUGGUGGGGUAACGGCUCACCAAGGCGACGAUACAUAGCCGACCUGAGAGGGUGAUCGGCCACACUGGGACUGAGACACGGCCCAGACUCCUACGGGAGGCAGCAGUAGGGAAUCUUCGGCAAUGGACGGAAGUCUGACCGAGCAACGCCGCGUGAGUGAAGAAGGGUUUCGGAUCGUAAAGCUCUGUUGUAAGAGAAGAACGAGUGUGAGAGUGGAAAGUUCACACUGUGACGGUAUCUGACCAGAAAGGGACGGCUAACUACGUG
rnacentral:rRNA from 1 species